rnacentral:lncRNA from 1 species
AGGGUCUAUGCCAACCCGUCGUCUUGCUCAUCCGGUGUGCCCUGAGAACGAGAUAUGUGCAGCUCCUAUCGGGAUUUGUCGGCACAUCGGGCGGCUUUGCUGGUCUUGUUUUACCAUUGUCGAAAUGUCUUGAUGUACCGGGAUACCGAGUCUGAUCGGAGUGUCUUGGGUGAAGGUUUAUUCCUUCGUUGAUCGCGAGAGCUUGUUAUGGGCUAAGUUGGGACACCCCUGCAGGGUUUUAUCUUUCGAAAGCCGUGCCCGCGGUUAUGAGGCAGAUGGGAAUUUGUUAAUGUCCGGUUGUAGAAAACCCGAAGUUGACCUUAAUUAAAAUACAUCAACCGUGUAUGUAACUGUGAUGGUCUCUUCUCGGCGGAGUCCGGGAAGUGAACACGGUGUUGGAGUUAUGUUUGACGCAGGUUGCUAGGAUCACCUCUUGAUCACUACUAGCUUCCCGACCGUGCUUUGCUUCUCUUCUCGCUCUCUUUUGCGAUGUAGCCACCAUAUAUGCUAGUCGCUUGCUGCAGCCCUUCCUCUUUUUACACCAGCCUUCCCUUAAGCUUAAAUAGUCUUGAUCUCGCGGGUGUGAGAUUGCUGAGUCCCUGUGGCUCACAGAUUCUACCAAAACAGAUGCAGGUACCGGUGAUGCCAGCGCUGAUGGCGCAACUGAGCUGAAGUGGGAAUAUGAUGAGGCACUUGGUCGAUACUAUGUUUCAUUUCCAGACGAUUAGUAGUGGAGCCCAGUUGGGGCGAUCGGGGAUCUGCGUUGCAUGUGGGGUAUUCUUCUUUUAUUUUGGUUCCGUAGUCGGACCUUGAGUGUAAUCUGUAUGAUGGAUGUUUAAUUAUGCAUUGUGUAAAGUGGCGACUGUAAGCCAACUAUGUAUCUUUUCCCUUAUGUAUUACAUGGAUUGUGCGAAGAUUACCUCACUUGCGACAUUGCUUUCAAUGCGGUUAUGCCUCUAAGUCGUGCUUCGACACGUGGGAGAUAUAGCCGCAUCGAGGGCGUUACAUCCCGAACUGUGCGUCUAGGCGGAUGGUAACAGGAAACGAGGGACACAAUGUUUUUACCCAGGUUCGGGCCCUCUUGAUGGAGGUAAAACCCUACGUCCUGCUUGAUUAAUAUUGAUGAUAUGGGUAGUACAAGAGUGGAUCUACCACGAGAUCAAGGAGGCUAAACCCUAGAAGCUAGCCUAUGGUAUGAUUGUUGAGAUGUAAUGUUCGUCCUAUGGACUAAGGCCCUCCGGUUUAUAUAGACACCGGAGAGGCUAGGGUUACACAGAGUCGGUUACAAUGGUAGGAGAUCUACAUAUCCGUAUUGCCAAGCUUGCCUUCCACGCCAAGGAAAGUACCUUCCGGACACGAGCCGGAGUCUUCAAUCUUCUAUCUUCGUAGUAUGGGAGUCCGGCGAAUAUUGAUAGUCCGGCUAUCCGGACACCCCCUAGUCCAGGACUCCCUCAGUAGCCCCCGAACCAGGCUUCAAUGACAAUAAGUCCAGCGUGCUUGUAGUCUUCGGCGUUGCAAGGUGGGUUCUCCCUUCAAAUUCCAUGUACCAGCCGAAUAGUGUCCGGCUUCAUCUAGAAUAUUGUGCUCCUCGGCUUCCACGCCAAAUUAUGGCCCUCUUCCACGCGUCGCACGAAUGCGAAAAGCCAGGGUGUUUUUUACAUUUUACCCCCUAAUUGUGCGGGUCAUCCGCCUAUAAAAAAGGCAAGGAUCCAGAUCCAAAACACACCACCUUCCUCCCGCGUAUACUCCAUCAAAGCGCCUCUGACCUAGAAAUCCAUUCCACCAUGGAUCGUCAACGCGGCUCUUCCUCACGCGCUCCUAGCCCACCGCGAGGGGAUUGGAGGAGGUGCUCUAUUUUGCAUAAUGAGCUAGUGAAGCUCCAAACGGAGGGAUUUCUUCCUCCGGCUUUCAUGGUUCUAGUCCGAGCCGGACUGGUUACUUAUCGAGGUGGGAGGCAGGCGGAGGACACCCCAAGCCCCAACAAGGGGGAGCGAGUGUGUUUCGUCCCCUAUCUGAUAAGGGGGCUCAGAUUUCCAAUACAUCCGUUCCUCCGCGGGCUCCUGAAGUUCUACGGACUCCAGCUCCAUCACCUCACGCCCGCCUCUGUGCUGCAUAUUGCGGGCUACGUAGCUCUUUGCGAGCUAUUCCUGGGCAUCGAGCCCCAUUUUGCAUUGUGGAAGAGGCUGUUCUGCCUCGUACCCCGUUCUCACCAGCGGUCCAUAUAUCAAGUGGGCGGCGCCGAAAUAUGGCGCAUCGCCGGGACCGGAUACCUAUCUGGCACCCCCAAGAGGGCAUCCGAAGACUGGCCCUCGGAGUGGUUUUAUAUAGUAGACGCUCCGUUGCCCGACCCAGUCCGGAUCGGCCUCCCGGAGUUUGAUUCUGCUCCCUUGAAGAAACGCCUCAGCUGGUGCCCGCGGAGCCCCCGUUUGGAGGAAGACAAGAGCGUCCAUUACUUGAUGGGCCGGAUAAGAUUAAUGGCUCAUUCCGGCUUGACCAUGAUUGGAGUCAUGGCGACGUGCAUCAAGCGGGGGGUGCAGCCGCUGCAAUACAGAGGCCACCCCAUGUGGGAUUUCAACGGGGAGGACGAUGCUACCCGGCAUGGCCGCAAAGGGCCGGGUUCGACCGAGGAUCUGGUGAAGAUCCUGUCCGGUCUGUACAAGGGGGAGAAGGAGGACUUCCUUCAUCCGAACCCUUUGGACGGGUUUUCCAUGAUCAACCCUAGAGGAUGGGUAAGCGAACACCUCGAAGGAUUCCACCCGUGCUUUCCAAGUUUAAGCUUCUUACAUUAUGUCUCCGGCGCAGGAUCUACGCCGGACCGUGGAGGACAUGGUGAGUCCUGCUCCACAACCCAAGGAUCCGGAAGGAUCCCUGGGUCCGGCUUCUGAAGAGGAUCCGGACAUUGAGGUGGAGCUGAUCGACGGGGUGCAUCACCAGCUCAGCAUCGACAAUGCUUUGGUCGCCAUUACGGCGGACUACCCCGGGCUAAGCCUGGCUUCCCAGGUGACUAUGACCAAAGUCCGGACACCGUUAUCUUAUCCUUGCCUAUUUCUGACCUUCGCGAACGAUGGUGUUUUGCAGGAAGCGCCGUUACGGCAGGAAACCGAGCCUGCGGCGGCCGACCUACAGAGGUCAGUCCUAACUAGCAGGAGAAAAAGGAGCGCCGUGCGGAUGGAAACGUCGCCGCAAAGGUAUAGCUCAUGUUUGAUCUUUUCGAGCAACGCUCCGAGGAAACGUCUAAAUGCUCAUGAUCAUCACAGGAGAAAAAGCGCUCGCCGGACUGCGAGCGCAGGGAUUGCCGACCCAACCAACAAGAGCCAGGCUCCAGCGCCCGGUCUGGAGGGGGAGGCAAGCGCAAGACGCGAAUCGGAUCCUGCCCCAAUGGAGGAUACCGAUAGACUGUCCGCCACCAAGUCAGAGGUGGAGAGCGCUAUGAAUCAUAGACGCCGCCGGACAGUUUUUCAAGAAGCGUGCUUUUCCCCUGAGGCAUUGGAUGCCUUUAACGCAGGGGACGCGCAUCUCCGUGCUGCUCAAAAUGGUCUUACCAGAGCGACGGAGCAGUAUGUUAAAGACAUACGGGUAAGGGAAUUUUAAUGGUUGUAUACACCAGUAGCGCCCGAGACUUAAAUUAGUUAUGGAAACUGAUUUAAGGAUCAUUUGAAAUUUCAGGCUCUUAACGAGAAGAAUACCCAGCUGUCUCGGGAACUGCAAGAUUGCAAGGCCCAACUUGAGGCCGCACUUGCUGCCGCAUGAGGAGACGGAAAGACCCCUCCUGGUAACACAUUUGUAUAAAUUAAUAUAAGCAGGUGCCGCCGAACUAGAUCCGGACAGGCAAGCAUUGCUACGCCAGCUAAAGGCUGGCGAGAAUGUGCUGAAUAGGGUUCAGCAAGAAAGGAACAAGCUCCAAGAUGCCAAUGCCAAGCUCGGGGAAGAGCUGAAAGGCGCGCAGGCCGAGCUGUCCAGCUCCGUCAAGGAGAAUCAACGGCUUCGUCGCGGCAUAUAUAGUAAGUGCGUGAGCGAACUCUUUAACAGAGAAGAGUUCGGCGAGGAAGUAAUUUGACAUAAUAUGUCUUGUAGGUGUACUCACGGGUCGUCCUGCAGAGGAGAUGCCCGUAUCAACGGGUGAUCAACUUCCCGAACUAUUGCAGCUACUCGAACGAGUUCGGCAUGCAAUGAGUGGCGCCGUACAGGCUUUAUGGCCAUCCCUCACCCUGCCCGAGGGCCUCGGGGAGCUUGCAGAGAAGCUGCAGGGAGUACGGCAGUGCUUCCGUUUGUGGAAGGUUUCGGCUUGCCGUCAAGGUGCCAGGGAGGCUUGGGCCAUGGUGAAGACGCGGUAUAAGAAGGCGGAUCCCAACCAUAUGGCCGAAGUUGGACCGGUGGGGCCUGAUGGGAAGGAGAUCCCUAUGAGUUUAGUGUACGGCCAGGUAGAACUGGCUGCUAAAUUUUCCCAACGGGACUGUAAGCUAGACAGCCUGUUAGACGGGAUUGAGGAGGAAUACAAUCAAUAAAUUUGACAAUGUAUGUUAUCCUUUGAAAAGACAUGUGAAAUGCCUUCUAGCCUGAUUGUAGAUCGUUUGUCUUUGCCGACCUUUUCGCUUCGACCUCGGGACCCUAGAGUCCGGAGUGUGUCCGAAUACCUUUUUGGUUAAGAAACAACCGUGGUAUGCAUGGAGACCAGGCGUAGGGGUCAUUAGUGCUUUAUCAGACAAGUGCCCAACUAGUUAUGUUAUAUUACAUGGUUAGUAAGAAACAUCUUCCAGGGAGAAUAGUUCCGUUAAGGGUUCCUUUCGCUGGGGAGGCAUGCCCUAAAGUGCAUUGCCGGACUGCAAAGAAAGAAGGAAAACAUCUGGGGGCAGAUGGAAAAAUAGUUAAGAAAUCAUCUUUUAAAUCACCGACCGAAUAUUCCCUUAAGAACGCUAGCUUUCGGCUUCACCCAGUCUGAGGUACACAUCCGGCUGACCCGGUAGUAACAAUGGCAGAGGUGCUCCCUUUACCUCCUAGCCGAACAAUCGGGAACGUAGGGGUAAGCACAAGAGCCAGGCAACCCAGCUUGGCCAAAACUUAAGUCAUAUCGAUGCAUAUAAUGGCGAGUAAAAGGUACAUGUGGAAGCUUGACACAUGUGUUGGGUAUAAAACCCGUAUAAUUGAGCUUCUGUGAAAGAAGCCCCCAGGAAUAACGAGUGCGGAUGGCACAUCGUGCGUACGCAAAGAAUGCGAAAAUAGGCCCCGAAGGGCUUUUAAAUUAAAAGGAUAAAAAGAGAAAUAGAAGAUAGCCGAAAUAUAAAAGGUUGGACGGGGGAAGGGGACGAACUCUUAGUCCGGCGCUAGGCAUAGAAUCGUCGGAGUCGGGCUGCGUUCCAUGGGUUCGGCUCGAGUCGGUUGUCCGACGCAUUUCGUAGAUGGUAUGCUCCGCCGGUCAGUACUUGAUCAAUAAUGAAGGGGCCUUCCCAUCUGGGCUUGAGCUUGUCCUUUUUCUUGUCCGGCAGGCGUAGAACUAGUUCGCCAACAUUGUAAGUCUUGGCCCGUACUUCUCUGUUUUGGUAUCUUCGGGCCUGUUGCUGAUAGAAUGCGGAACGAGCCUUCGCGACGUCACGUUCUUCCUCCAAUGUGUCCAAGCUGUCCUGCCGAUCCAACUCGGCUUCUCUUUCCUCAUACAUGCGCACUCGAGGUGAGUCAUGAAUAAUGUCGCAGGGCAAGACUGCCUCUACGCCGUAUACCAUAAAAAAUGGUGUGAAUCCGGUAGUACGGUUAGGCGUUGUCCGCGGCCCCCAGAGUACGGAGUCGAGCUCCUCGACCCAUUGGGUGUCUGAUUUAGUGAGUGACCUCACUAGUCUGGGUUUAAUGCCGCUCAUUAUUAGACCAUUUGCUCUUUCCACUUGACCGUUGGUUUGAGGGUGAUAGACUGACGCAUAGUCGAGCUUAAUGCCCAUAUUUUUGCACCAUGACUUGACCUCAUCGGCUGUGAAGUUCGUGCCGUUGUCGGUGAUGAUGCUGUGGGGGACUCCGUAACAGUGUACCACCUCUGAUAUAAAGUCUAUCACUGGUCCGGACUCUGCCGUUUUGACCGGUUUGGCCUCUAUCCAUUUGGUGAACUUAUCCACCAUGACCAAUAGGUACUUUUUCUUGUGGGUUCCCCCUUUAAGGGGUCCAACCAUGUCAAGCCCCCAGACCGUGAACGGCCAGGUAAUGGGUAUGGUUUUGAGGGCGGUGGGUGGCAUAUGGCUCUGAUUAGCAAAGAGUUGACAACCGACGCAUCGCUGGACCAAGUCCUGUGCAUCUGCCCGAGCCGUCGGCCAAUAAAAUCCUGUACGGAAUGCCUUUCCUACCAGGGCCCGGGCUGCUGCGUGGUGUCUGCCUAGUCCGGCGUGGAUUUCAGCCAGGAGGUUUCGCCCUUCUUUUUCGGAGAUACACCUUUGAAGGACUCCGGUAGUACUUUUCUUGUAAAGUUCUCCCUCAUGGACCUUGUAGGCCUUCGAUCGCCGGACUAUGCAGCGGGCCUCAUUUUGGUCUUCAGGAAGUUCCUGCCUAAGUAAAUAGGCUAGGAAAGGUUCUGUCCAUGCGGGGAUUACUGCCAUUAUAACAUGGGCGGAGGGUGUUAUGUCAUCUGCUGAAUCACCGGUUGGUGCGGUUUUCUCCGGUUUGUCGCUACCGGGCUCCUCUUCCCAUAGUACGGAUGGCUUGAAGAGCCGUUCCAGGAAGAUAUUUGGAGGGACGGCAUCACGUUUCACACCGAUGCGUGCCAGGACGUCGGCCGCUUGGUUAUUAUCUCGGGCUAUGUGAUGGAAUUCGAGUCCUUCAAACCGAGCUGACAUUUUCAGGACAGCAUUGCGAUAUGCUGCCAUUUUCUGAUCCUUGGCGUCAAAGUCUCCAUUUAUUUGGGAUAUUGCAAGGUUUGAAUCCCCGCGCACCUCUAGGCGUUGAAUGCCCAUGGAGACUGCCAUCCGAAGACCAUGUAAUAGGGCCUCGUAUUUGGCUGCAUUGUUGGAGUCCGUGUACAUUAUUUGAAGUACAUAUUGGACUGUAUCUCCGGUGGGGGACGUCAGUACGACGCCAGCCCCCAAUCCGGCCAACAUUUUGGAACCGUCGAAGUGCAUAGUCCAAUUGGAGUGUGCGACGUACUCUUUAGGGAGUUCGGCUUCAGUCCAUUCGGCGACGAAGUCAGCCAAAACUUGUGACUUUAUGGCUCGUCGAGGUUUGUAAGUUAUGUCGAAUGGCAAGAGCUCAAUUGCCCAUUUUGCGAUCCUGCCCGUUGCGUCGCAGUUAUUUAUAAUGUCAUUGGGUGGUACUUCGGAGGCCACUCUUAUCGAACACUCUUGAAAGUAGUGCCGGAGCUUCCGAGACGCCAUGAACACCGCAUAUGCUAUCUUCUGAUAGUGCGGGUAACAGGAUUUGCAGGGGUUAACACAGUGGAUACGUAAUACACUGAUUUUUGAAGAGGGAAUUUAUGCCCUUCUGUCGCUCGUUCGACGACGAGGACAGCGCUUACAACUUGAUGUGUUGCUGCGAUAUAUAACAACAUUGGUUCGCCCAUAGUGGGCGCAGCCAGGACCGGAUUUGUUGCCAAUAUGGCCUUUAUUUCUUCGAGUCCGGCAGUGGCGGCAUCCGUCCACUCGAAGUGUUCGGUGCGCCUUAGGAGGCGAUAAAGGGGCAACGCCUUCUCUCCUAAACGGGAGAUAAAACGGCUUAAAGCUGCCACGCAUCCUGUUAAUUUUUGUAUUUGCUUGAGGUCCUUUGGAAUAUCCAACUGUGACAGAGCCCGGAUUUUGGCCGGAUUUUCUUCAAUUCCUCUACCGGAUACGAUGUAGCCCAGCAGCUUUCCGGCUGGUACACCGAAAACACAUUUUUCCGGAUUCAGCUUGAUGUCAUAUGCUCUAAGGUUGUCGAAUGUGAGCCUCAAAUCGUCUACUAAUGUUUCGACGUGUUUUGUUUUGACGACUACGUCGUCUACGUAUGCCUCGACUGUUUUGCCGAUCUGGGUGGCCAGACAUGUUUGAAUCAUGCGCUGAUAUGUUGCGCCGGCGUUUUUAAGUCCGAAGGGCAUUGUGUUGAAGCAGAAUGGUCCGUAUGGAGUGAUGAAUGCCGUUGCGGCUUGAUCUGCUUCCGCCAUCUUGAUUUGAUGAUAGCCGGAGUAUGCAUCCAGGAAGCACAACGAAUCAUGUCCUGCUGUGGCAUCGAUAAUUUGAUCGAUGCGGGGGAGGGGGAAAGGAUCCUUUGGGCAGGCCUUAUUGAGGUCUUUGAAGUCGACACAGAGGCGCCAGGAUUUAUCCUUCUUCGGUACCAUCACCAAAUUUGCUAGCCAGUCCGGAUGUUUGAUAUCUCUGAUGAAUCCGGCUUCCAAUAACUUGGCUAGCUCUUCUCCCAUUGCCUGUCUUUUGGGCUCGGAAAAUCGUCGAAGAGCCUGUUUGACUGGCUUAAAUCCUUUUAGGAUGUUUAGGCUGUGUUCUGCCAACCUGCGAGGGAUUCCGGGCAUGUCCGAGGGAUGCCAGGCGAAGAUGUCCCAAUUUUCCCGAAGGAAUUCGCGCAGUGCGGCGUCAACUUCGGGGUUGAACUGUGCCCCGAUGGAAGCCGUCUUUGUUGGGUCCGUUGGGUGGACCUGAAAUUUUAUUAUCUCGUCUGCUGGUUUGAAGGAGGUGGACUUGGAUCUUUUAUCAAGUAUCACAUCGUCCCUGUUUACCGUAGAGCGCAGCGUGGUGAGUUCCUCUGCCGCUAAGGCUUCGGAUAGCGCCUCGAGGGCAAGUGCGGCUGUCUUGUUUUCGGCGCGGAGUGCUAUGUCCGGAUCACUAACGAGAGUGAUUAUUCCGCUGGGUCCGGGCAUUUUAAGCUUCAUGUACCCGUAAUGAGGUAUUGCUUGAAAGAUUGUGAAUGCCUCUCGUCCUAAUAUGGCGUGAUAGCCGCUGCUGAACGGGGCCACCUGGAACGUGACUUCUUCGGAUCUGUAAUUGUCCGGAGAGUCGAACACCACAUCGAGUGUGAUUUUUCCGAUGCAGCGCGCUUCACGGCUAGGGAUUAUUCCUCUGAAGGUUGUGCUGCUUCGCUCAAUACGGCUCCAAUCGAUUUCCAUUUUCCGCAGAGUUUCCUCGUAAAUGAGGUUUAGUCCGCUGCCGCCAUCCAUGAGGACUUUUGUCAGUCGAAAGCCGUCCACUAUGGGACUAAGUACCAGUGCGGCUGGGGCUCUGGUAGUUCGAGAUGUGGGCUCGUCGCUGGCGUUGAAGGUAAUAGCUGUGUCACUCCAUGGAUUUGCUGUUGCUACUUGGUAGACUUCGGCGAGUUCGCGGAUUGUUCGUUUUCGCAUAUUAUUUGAUGCGAAAGUCUUGAAGACUGCUGAUACCGUGCUGGUCUUGUUGGAGUGGUUUCCCGGAGCUAGUAGCUCUUCGCCACUUUUGGCCACCUGCCGUAGUAUCCAACAUGCUCGAAGGCUAUGUGUUGGGAUGGCUCCCUCUGUACUAUGGAGUUUACAGGGUUCAUUGAGCCAUCCCUCCAGUACGGUUCCGUUUCCCUUAUUGGGUUUUUGUUUUUUGGUUUUUGCAUCCGGGGCCUGAUUGUAAGGCGCCCUUUUACUGCGGACUGGGUUUGGUGCCGGAGUAUCCCAAAAUUUAUUUUCAGUUUUCCGGAAACUUUCUAUCGCACAGUACUUUCAUACUAUGGACGCCAGAUCGGUGAAGCGCGUAAUCUUGCGACGAUCAAUGGCGUUCAGAAUUACCUUGUCCGUGCAGUUAUUGCAGAAGAUUGAGAUUGUGUUUCCCUCUCGGCAGUCCUUUAUCCUGUCCAUGACUAGGAGGAAUCUGGCCCAGUAAUGAUGUAAUGUUUCUGAAGGCUCUUGCCGAAUUAGAGAUAGGUCGCAUAUGUCUGGGCGGGUGGGUGGAAUAAAAUCCGGAUCCCUGCCCAUCUUUGGGCUCAAAGGCCGAGGGGCUUCCAAAUUCGGGAGCUUGAUUUGCUGGAGAUAGUCCAAGGAGUCCGGAGCGACGCAUGAUUUUAGGUUCAAUGCUCGAUCAAAGUCCGUCCCUCCGCGGGAAUCCGGCAUGGAGGGUUCGGGAAUCCGGACACGGAUUGUUUUCAAUACUGGCAAAGAAUUGCCGAAUUGUUCUUCUACCACUUCGACGUGGUGGGUAGCCUGGGGAGAGUUAAUCUCUCUCAGAUCGGUUUUAAGCCCGAUCUGAUUGUAGUCCGUAGCGACUCCAAGGGCGGCGAUGUGAUCCAAGAGCUCGUUAACAGAUGAGAGCUCAAUUGGAUCUAACUGUUCGGCAGCUUUAGGGCUGACGCGAAGAUUGCUUCCGAUGACUUGAGAAGUCAUUGCCGAAGCGGCGGCCGGACAGGCGGUCAUAAGAAAACCGCCAAGCCGGAUUGUUUGACCGGCGGCCAAGGCCCCUCCGGCAAAAACACCGUCCUUGAAGACGGGUAAAGGCAUCCGCUCUAUCGGCGACGACACAGAGGAACUCUCAAUGAAAGCACCAAUGUCGGUGUCAAAACCGGCGGAUCUCGGGUAGGGGGUCCCGAACUGUGCGUCUAGGCGGAUGGUAACAGGAGACGAGGGACACAAUGUUUUUACCCAGGUUCGGGCCAUCUUGAUGGAGGUAAAACCCUACGUCCUGCUUGAUUAAUAUUGAUGAUAUGGGUAGUACAAGAGUGGAUCUACCACGAGAUCAAGGAGGCUAAACCCUAGAAGCUAGCCUAUGGUAUGAUUGUUGAGAUGUAAUGUUCGUCCUAUGGACUAAGGCCCUCUGGUUUAUAUAGACACCGGAGAGGCUAGGGUUACACAGAGUCGGUUACAAUGGUAGGAGAUCUACAUAUCCGUAUUGCCAAGCUUGCCUUCCACGCCAAGAAAAGUACCUUCCGGACACGAGCCGGAGUCUUCAAUCUUCUAUCUUCGUAGUAUGGGAGUCCGGCGGAUAUUGAUAGUCCGGCUAUCCGGACACCCCCUAGUCCAGGACUCCCUCAC